rnacentral:pre_miRNA from 1 species
UAACCUCCUCAGGUUGGCUUGCCCCCAGGUUGGGCUGGGCGAGUAUCUCUUCCAGAGGCUGACCAUCAAGCAUGACUAGGAGC